GCCUAACACAUGCAAGUCGAGCGGUAGCACAGAGAGCUUGCUCUCGGGUGACGAGCGGCGGACGGGUGAGUAAUGUCUGGGAAACUGCCUGAUGGAGGGGGAUAACUACUGGAAACGGUAGCUAAUACCGCAUAAUGUCGCAAGACCAAAGUGGGGGACCUUCGGGCCUCAUGCCAUCAGAUGUGCCCAGAUGGGAUUAGCUAGUAGGUGGGGUAAUGGCUCACCUAGGCGACGAUCCCUAGCUGGUCUGAGAGGAUGACCAGCCACACUGGAACUGAGACACGGUCCAGACUCCUACGGGAGGCAGCAGUGGGGAAUAUUGCACAAUGGGCGCAAGCCUGAUGCAGCCACGCCGCGUGUGUGAAGAAGGCCUUCGGGUUGUAAAGCACUUUCAGCGGGGAGGAAGGCGGUGAGGUUAAUAACCUCAUCGAUUGACGUUACCCGCAGAAGAAGCACCGGCUAACUCCGUGCCAGCAGCCGCGGUAAUACGGAGGGUGCAAGCGUUAAUCGGAAUUACUGGGCGUAAAGCGCACGCAGGCGGUCUGUCAAGUCGGAUGUGAAAUCCCCGGGCUCAACCUGGGAACUGCAUUCGAAACUGGCAGGCUAGAGUCUUGUAGAGGGGGGUAGAAUUCCAGGUGUAGCGGUGAAAUGCGUAGAGAUCUGGAGGAAUACCGGUGGCGAAGGCGGCCCCCUGGACAAAGACUGACGCUCAGGUGCGAAAGCGUGGGGAGCAAACAGGAUUAGAUACCCUGGUAGUCCACGCCGUAAACGAUGUCGAUUUGGAGGUUGUGCCCUUGAGGCGUGGCUUCCGGAGCUAACGCGUUAAAUCGACCGCCUGGGGAGUACGGCCGCAAGGUUAAAACUCAAAUGAAUUGACGGGGGCCCGCACAAGCGGUGGAGCAUGUGGUUUAAUUCGAUGCAACGCGAAGAACCUUACCUGGUCUUGACAUCCACAGAACUUAGCAGAGAUGCUUUGGUGCCUUCGGGAACUGUGAGACAGGUGCUGCAUGGCUGUCGUCAGCUCGUGUUGUGAAAUGUUGGGUUAAGUCCCGCAACGAGCGCAACCCUUAUCCUUUGUUGCCAGCGGUCCGGCCGGGAACUCAAAGGAGACUGCCAGUGAUAAACUGGAGGAAGGUGGGGAUGACGUCAAGUCAUCAUGGCCCUUACGACCAGGGCUACACACGUGCUACAAUGGCAUAUACAAAGAGAAGCGACCUCGCGAGAGCAAGCGGACCUCAUAAAGUAUGUCGUAGUCCGGAUUGGAGUCCGCAACUCGACUCCAUGAAGUCGGAAUCGCUAGUAAUCGUAGAUCAGAAUGCUACGGUGAAUACGUUCCCGGGCCUUGUACACACCGCCCGUCACACCAUGGGAGUGGGUUGCAAAAGAAGUAGGUAGCUUAACCUUCGGGAGGGCGCUUACCACUUUGUGAUUCAUGACUGGGGUGAAGUCGUA
rnacentral:rRNA from 1 species